rnacentral:rRNA from 1 species
GAUGAACGCUGGCGGCGUGCCUAACACAUGCAAGUCGAGCGAACCCUUCGGGGUGAGCGGCGGACGGGUGAGUAACGCGUGGGUAACCUGCCCUAUACACACGGAUAACGUACCGAAAGGUACGCUAAUACGGGAUAAAGUUGUUGGAUGGCAUUUUCUAACAAUCAAAGCUCCGGCGGUAUAGGAUGGACCCGCGUCUGAUUAGCUAGUUGGUGAGGUAAUGGCUCACCAAGGCGACGAUCAGUAGCCGACCUGAGAGGGUGAUCGGCCACACUGGAACUGAGACACGGUCCAGACUCCUACGGGAGGCAGCAGUGGGGAAUAUUGCACAAUGGGCGAAAGCCUGAUGCAGCAACGCCGCGUGAGCGAUGAAGGUCUUAGGAUCGUAAAGCUCUGUCCUCAAGGAAGAUAAUGACGGUACUUGAGGAGGAAGCCCCGGCUAACUACGUGCCAGCCGCCGCGGUAA